GUCACUUUGCCGGAGUGGUUAACGGGAUCGCCUGCUAACUUUGAUUAGUAUGAUAGCGGUUGGUCUUUGACCGCGAGUGUUCGAAUCGCUCAGGUGACG
rnacentral:tRNA from 1 species